rnacentral:rRNA from 1 species
UACGUAGGGUGCGAGCGUUGUCCGGAUUUAUUGGGCGUAAAGAGCUCGUAGGCGGUUUGUCGCGUCGGCCGUGAAAUCUCCACGCUUAACGUGGAGCGUGCGGUCGAUACGGGCAGACUUGAGUUCGGUAGGGGAGACUGGAAUUCCUGGUGUAGCGGUGAAAUGCGCAGAUAUCAGGGGGAACACCGGUGGCGAAGGCGGUUCUCUGGGCAUUACCUGACGCUGAGGAGCGAAAGUGUGGGGAGCGAACAGG